rnacentral:rRNA from 1 species
UACAGAGGUCUCAAGCGUUGUUCGGAUUCAUUGGGCGUAAAGGGUGCGUAGGUGGCGCCGUAAGUCAGGUGUGAAAUCUCGGGGCUCAACCCCGAAACUGCACUUGAUACUGCGGUGCUCGAGUACUGGAGAGGAGAUUGGAAUUUACGGUGUAGCAGUGAAAUGCGUAGAUAUCGUAAGGAAGACCAGUGGCGAAGGCGAAUCUCUGGACAGUGACUGACACUGAGGCACGAAGGCCAGGGGAGCAAACGGG